AGAGUGUAAAAAAUGAUUUUGUAAAGAAUAAAAGUGUGUGUGUCCACUCUUGUGUGUUUUGUUUUUGUUUUAUGCAUUCACACAGUACAAACAGAUGUUAAAAAAAAAAACUUCAAUGUGUAGACGUGUGUGCAGUAACAUCAGUCAACACAGGAGGGCGCUCCAGGACAAGCAUGAAUAUAGGAAGUGUCCAUGGCUUUGUCUUCGCUCCAAGCGGAAGUGAAACUCUUUAAGUUGACGUUUGAAAUGCGACAGGUGGCGACUUGUCCAGUGUGUACCGAAUGCAGCUGAGAUAGGCUCCAGCACCCCCCGCGACCCCGAAAGGGACAAGCGGUAGAAAAAUGGAAGGAUGGAUGGAUAUUGGAUUGAUGCAGUGUCUGCACCAGGCGAAGCUCUCGAUUUACCGGAUUUCUGGGAUCACCCUCACAGAUAGCGUAAGGAGUUUGGUCAUCCGGGAGAGGCUCAGAAUAGAGCCAUCUCCAGCUGAGAUGGCUCGGGCAUCUACUACAGAUGCCCCCUGGACGCCUCCCUGGUGAGGUGUUUCGAGCAUGUCCAGCUGAGAGGAGACCUCGGGGCAGACCUAGGACAUGUUGGAGGGACUAUGUCUCAGCUGGCCUGGGAAUGCCUCGGUAUCCCCCCUGUGGAACUAGAGGAGGUGGCCGGGAACAGAGAAAUCUGGGUAUCUCUGCUUAGACCAAGGGUGUCUACUGGUUUUAGAUCAGGGCCACAUGGAGAAAAAUCUACUCCCAAAUGUCCGGGCUGGUAAAAUUACGGCCCGAUAACUUACAAACCCCGUUUCCAUAUGAGUUGGGAAAUUGUGUUAGAUGU